rnacentral:tRNA from 1 species
GCACUGGUGGUUCAAUGGCAGAAUUCUCCCCUUUCAUGCAGGAGUCCUGGGUUCCAUUCCUGGCUAAUGCA